rnacentral:rRNA from 1 species
AUUGAACGCUGGCGGCAGGCCUAACACAUGCAAGUCGAACGAGUGGCGGACGGGUGAUUAAUGUCUGGGAAACUGCCCGAUGGAGGGGGAUAACUACUGGAAACGGUAGCUAAUACCGCAUACCAUCGGAUGUGCCCAGAUUGGAUUAGCUAGUAGGUGGGGUAACGGCUCACCUAGGCGACGAUCCCUAGCUGGUCUGAGAGGAUGACCAGCAACACUGGAACUGAGACACGGUCCAGACUCCUACGGGAGGCAGCAGUGGGGAAUAUUGCACAAUGGGCGCAAGCCUGAUGCAGCCAUGCCGGGUGUAUGAAGAAGGCCUGCGGGUUGUAAAGUACUUUCAGCGAGGAUGCGUUACUCGCAGAAGAAGCACCGGCUAACUCCGUGCCAGCAGCCGCGGUAAUUC